rnacentral:rRNA from 1 species
UACAGAGGGUGCGAGCGUUGUCCGGAAUCACUGGGCGUAAAGGGCGCGUAGGUGGUGGCUUAAGCGUGCGGUGAAAGCCCGUGGCUCAACUGCGGGUCGGCCACCGAUACUCCAGGGCUCCGAGUUUGGUAGAGGCAGAUGGAAUUCCGGGUGUAGCGGUGGAAUGCGUAGAGAGUCCGGAAGAACACCGGUGGCGAAGG